rnacentral:rRNA from 1 species
GACGAACGCUGGCGGCAUGCCUAACACAUGCAAGUCGAACGAGACCUUCGGGUCUAGUGGCGCACGGGUGCGUAACGCGUGGGAACCUGCCGUUAGGUUCGGAAUAACUCCCCGAAAGGGGUGCUAAUACCGGAUAAUGUCUUCGGACCAAAGAUUUAUCGCCUUUGGAUGGGCCCGCGUUGGAUUAGCUAGUUGGUAGGGUAAAAGCCUACCAAGGCGACGAUCCAUAGCUGGUCUGAGAGGAUGAUCAGCCACACUGGGACUGAGACACGGCCCAGACUCCUACGGGAGGCAGCAGUGGGGAAUAUUGGACAAUGGGCGAAAGCCUGAUCCAGCAAUGCCGCGUGAGUGAUGAAGGCCUUAGGGUUGUAAAGCUCUUUUACCCGGGAUGAUAAUGACAGUACCGGGAGAAUAAGCUCCGGCUAACUCCGUG